rnacentral:rRNA from 1 species
GACGAACGCUGGCGGUGUGCUUAACACAUGCAAGUCGAACGGUAAGGCCCUUUCGGGGGUACACGAGUGGCGAACGGGUGCGUAACACGUGAGUAACCUGCCCUCAUCUCUGGGAUAACAGUCGGAAACGGUUGCUAAUACUGGAUAUGAGCCUGCAAGGCAUCUUGUGGGUUGGAAAGAUUUUUUGGUUGGGGAUGGACUCGCGGCCUAUCAGCUUGUUGGUGAGGUAGUGGCUCACCAAGGCUUCGACGGGUAGCCGGCCUGAGAGGGCGACCGGCCACAUUGGGACUGAGAUACGGCCCAAACUCCUACGGGAGGCAGCAGUGGGGAAUAUUGCACAAUGGACGGAAGUCUGAUGCAGCAACGCCGCGGGCGGGAUGACGGCCUUCGGGUUGUAAACCGCUUUCAAUUGUGACGAAGCUUUUUGUGACGGUAGCAGUAGAAGAAGCACCGGCUAACUACGUG